rnacentral:lncRNA from 1 species
UGUACUUCCUGUUUCAUCCCUGCUACCAGGAGCUGCGCAGAGACUGCAUUUUUAAGAAUAUCUACCUAAAAUACUAAUGAAAGAUCUUUUUCUGGCAAAAUUUAAUUCCACAGGCUUCUACAUUCCAUCCCUGAGACUAACUUUUUCAAAAUUUCUAAGGUAACUUACAUUUUUCUCUUUAUAGCUGUAUUAUUAAGAAAAAUUGCAGAGAUAAUGUAACAAUUAUAAGACAUACAUAUGCUUCUUUAUAUUUUGCUUUUAAUUUUGAAGGUUUUGAGGAGGCAUUUGCUUGUCACAGGGACAAAAGCCGGCAAUGUCCCUGUGAUAAUCAAAGAAUCCUCAUUCUGAUUCCUGAGUAUAAAAUUACAAGACAUAAGUUAAUGUAUACAGAAGGAUCUUAAUAUGUUACGUCAGAAAUAUAAAACAAUGCACUACUAAUCCAAGAAAAAUUAAAAUGGAUCCAAAUAUCAUAAGAACCACGUGGUUGCAUAAAGUUAAUACAAUUAUAUAAGUUAUGCUCUUAUUCUUUAUACAUAUUUUUCUAGCGAUUUGGAUAACCUAUGGUUGUUAAUUCAUUAAUAAUUAGCAUAUAUGUCUAGUUGAUUAAUUAGUAUAUAUUUAUCUAAUUGUUUUUCUUAAACAGAAAACAUAUAAUUUAUAUAAUACUUAUACAUGCAUUUCUUUGAUGCUCUGCCUUUUAAUUACAGGUAUUUGAGAUAAAUGUAUUUUACUAUAAAUUUGCUUUUAAGAGAUAAUACAACCAUCAAGUAAUCUCUCCCAAAUUGUUGUACAAAUUCCAUAAGGUAAUAAACAAAUAUAAUUAAUUUUGUCUAGAGAAAUAUCUAAUGGCUUUAACUAUAUUUUCAUUUGAGAUGUUUCUUCUUAUCAAGGUCCAAUAAUUUGUUAGAUUCUAAGGUUUUCAAGAAUUGUUCCAAGGAAAAAACAGAAAGAGUUCUAAAAGGAAAAGAAGAUACUUACACAGAGAGGAAGCACACAUUGGAGGUCCUAAGAGGAAGAAGUGAAUCAUCUUUGGGUAAAACAAGGUCUGGAUUUUAAUGACAAAACUAUUUUCCUAAAAAGGAAUAUCUGUAUAUGAUUAUGUAGACAGAUGAUAUAGAAAGUUAAAACAAUUGAAAAAGAGAUUUAUAUGUACUGGACUGACUAUAAAAAUUUUAACUAAUUCAAGAGUAUUUCAGGCUAUAUUCUUGAUUUCACUGUGCUGAUGUGAGUUAAGAUUUUGUCCAUAUUUUGACAGAAUAAAGACCUACUAAAAUGUUACGUGUAUUUUCUUUAAGGAAGGGUUUUAUUGCCUAAUGAUUCUUAUUGUUACAGCAAGGAUUAAUUUUAGUAAAUAAAUUCACAUCCUUGAUUAAACACUAAAUAUAUUAAACUACUGACUUAGAUUCCAAAUUUGACAAUUAUCCUUUGAGACUAAAUUUGAUUGAUUCAAAGACACUGCUGAAAUUUACAAAUUCCCUUUUUUUUGCUAGAUAUUUGUGAGAUUUGGAAGAACAUUGAUAUUCUCCAAAUUAAAGUCAUAGAUUGCUUUUGAGCAAUAAAGGUUGCAAACUUUGCUGGAAAUUCAUUAGUGUUUUAUAAGUUCUUUGACUGGACCUGUUAUUUAUUUUAAAAAUGGUAAAAUUUACAUACUACUCCCUACACUGGGAAGUAAGCUUAAUCGUAUUUCCUCAAAGACAAUUAAGAGAUACCUAUUUAAAGGAUAAUAUUCUUAGAUAUAGAAAUAUUUUGGAAACUUCUCUCAAGAAGAGAUUGAGGGCUCCCUAUAAUUUAAAUUACUGAUAUUAUGAUUUAUAACAGUCUUUUAAAUAAAGAAAAAGAAAAAAAAACAGGACCCCACAAGCACAUACUAGAUCUUACAAAUAUUUAAAAAAAUUUUUUUUCUUAAAUUGUAAUAUUGAGAGUUUUAUUGUUACUCAACAUGAUUCAGUAAAUUAAAUCAGAUUUUAAAAGAGAGUUGAAACCUCUCAUCAUGAAAAUGACUGUAGGGCCUGAAAUUGUAAGGUAAAUCUCACCACUGCAGAAUUUAGAGCCAUGCAGCUUCAUGAGCUUAUCAGGCAAGUAAAAAUUAUGAAGAGACUUGCAUGGACCCAUUUCUCAGGUCCACCUUUAAUGUGCCUUGAAGUGUGGACUGAAAAGUCCACCCAUGAACUAGAUUAAUUGUACUGACUGUAAUGUUCAAUUAUUCCUAUAUGUUGAACUUAUGGUACACAGACUCUCUGGGAUUAUCUUUUGAGAAAAAGACAGCAUGUAAGAAACCUAAACCAGCCAAUCAUGCUGGUCCUUAAAAGUUAAGAUGAUAUUUACUUUUCUGGACAAUUGUCAGAAAGAUUAUUAAAAUAGUUUUUAUUCUACACAGGCCAGUUAUUUAUGUAAGAUAUCCACCAACAUAUUAUUCUCCUACUCAUUCUACAAUAGGAAUUGUAGUAUGGAUAGUUGGUGCAAAUGUCUUGCCAGUCAACCCAAGAUAUCUAGAAAUAGUGGAUAUAUUUUAGACUGGUCUCCCAGAAUUGACAAAGCUGAUUAUGCAAGGAUGCCAUAACACAUGAAGGUUUAUUGGUAAUAACCUAGCCCUUCAGUGAGUUGGCACCCAAAAGGAUGUUUUGAUGUUUGACUUCUACCUUCAAAAUAUUUACAUUAUUGACCUAAAAAAAACUCAUUAAAUGUGAGAAUUAACUAAAAGGAUGAUGUAUAUCCUGUAGUCUGUAAGAAUGCAACUUGUCUUAUUGUAUCACUAGUUAUUGCCUGCUAAUAUUUCAGAGCUAUAAUAUGCUGAGGUUAACAUUCAGGCUUUGAAACAGGUGCAUGCUAAUUAACCAGACCUAGGCAAGCUCCUGCUCUCAUGAUCCUUGAAGUGACUACAUUAAAUAUAAUUUCCUGCUUCUGUAAUUAUAGUCUUUAUGGCUAUGUUUUAAACUUAGAACAUGUGAAUUUUCUUAAGAUUUGAUUUAAAUCACUUCCAAGAUCCUUCAUAGUCAAUUAAGUUCUGAUGGAAGAAUUGGAACUAAGUUAAAAUGCUCUAGAAGACAAUAUACUGAAUAAUGCAAAUGAGCCUUCUGCUCUAUGGUUUGUGGAUAGGCUUAAAUGCCAUGCGAAUUAAAUAAUCUUUGUUAAUAUGGCCAAAUGCAAUGCUUCCCAAUAAAAUUGAAAAAAGAUUAAAAAUCUUCUGAUGAGUGUUUGUCAGAGUAAAAAUAAUAACUUGGAUCUUGCAAGUUGAUUAUAUUAUUGAAAUGAUAUGUUUUCUACUAAUUCCUUUUGUGAUUCAAUGGUAGAUUAUGUUGAACUUGGAAUGUAACAAUUAUAAGACAUACAUAAGCUUCUUUAUAUUUUGCUUUUAAUUUUGAAGGUUUUGAGGAGACAUUUGCUUGUCACAGGAACAAAAGCCGGCAAUGUCCCUAUGAUAAUCAAAUAAUCCUCAUUCUCAUUCCUGAGUAUAAAAUUACAAGACAUAAGUCAAUGUAUACAGAAGAAUCUUAUUAUGUAUGUCACAAAUUUAAAACAAUCACUACUAAUCCAAGAAAAAUUAAAAUGGAUCCAAAUAUCAUAAGAACCACGUGGUUGCAUAAAGUUAAUACUAUUAUAAGUAAUGCCCUUAUU